GGUGGGAGCGGGCUUGCUCGCGAUGCAAGCUGCGCGGUGUUUAAGUCACACCGCGUCGAUGCCAUCGCGAGCAAGCCCGCUCCCACA
rnacentral:misc_RNA from 1 species